rnacentral:tRNA from 1 species
CUCAUGUUGGCAGACACAUAUGCUAUUGGCUUAAGCCCACUCCACAGAGAAACCUCUACAUGAAA